GGGGAUAGAGCUCAGUGGUAGAGUGCAUGCUUGGUGCACAUGAGGUCUUAAGUUCAAUCCCCAGCAUCUCCA
rnacentral:tRNA from 1 species